AUGGCAAAUUGCCUGGUACUGGUGCAGUCUCCCUCCUCUUUCUUCUUCCCCUUCGUUCUCCUGUCGGCUGCGCUGGUUUCGUACCAGGUGAGCAUGGUGGCCACGGCGCAGAACGCGCUGCCCGCUCAGGCCCGCGUCGGUGUCAUCCUGGAUUUGACGACGCCGGUCGGGCGCAGGCGGCGGACCGGCAUCCAGAUGGCGGUGGAGGACUAUUACGCCGCGCACCCCAGCUCGGCCACGAGGGUGGCGCUCCAUUUCAGGGACUCCGCGGGGGACCCUCUUCGCGCCGCUUCUGCUGCGGUGGACCUGAUCAAGAACGCGCAGGCGCAGGCGAUCAUUGGGCCUCCGACCUCUGCUGAGGCCGAGUUCGUGGCCCGCAUCGGCGACCACGCCCGCGUCCCGGUCAUCUCCUACUCCGCCACCUCCCCCACGUUGACCCCCGUGCAGACGCCUUUCUUCGUGCGCACGGCGGCCAACGACUCCUUCCAGACGGCGCCCGUCGCGGCCGUCCUCGGCGCCUUCAGUUGGCGCGCGGCGGUCGUCGUGUACGAGGACACGCCCUACGGGACCGGCAUCCUCCCGGCGCUCUCCGACGCGCUCCAGGGCGUCGGCACCAAGAUCAUGGACCGCACGGCCGUGCCCAGUGACGCGGACGACGCCCGACUCGACGCCGUGCUGUACCACUUCAUGGCGAUGCCGACGCGCGUGUUCGUCGUGCACAUGCUCUAUCCUCUCGCCGCGCGGCUCUUCCGCCGCGCGAAGAAGGCUGGCAUGAUGUCCCAGGAGUACGUCUGGGUCGCCACGGACGGGGUCGGCAGCUUCAUGGACAGGCUCAGCCCCGAGGACGUCGACGCGAUGCAGGGCGUCGUCAGCCUCCAGCCUUACGUGCAGCUGACGGAUGCCGCCAAGAACUUCUCGGCACGGCUGAUGGCGAGGUCCCGGCGGGAGAAUCCGGCAGAUGGGGGUGUUGCCGACUCAACCUUGAUGAGGCUAUGGUCGUACGACACGGCAUGGGCAAUCGCUGCGGCGGUCGAGACGGCCCGCGUCCCCAGCCCGGCGUUCCAGACGCCUGGAGGGACCACGGCGCUGACGGACUUGGACCGGCUCGGCGUGUCGGCCACCGGAACAGCACUUCUCAAGGCGGUGCUCGCCACGACGUUCGAAGGUAUAGCCGGCAAGUUCAAGAUGGUAGACGGGCAGCUGCAGCUGCCGGCGUAUGAGGUGGUGAACAUCAUCGGCAGAGGAGCCAGGACGGUCGGCUUCUGGACGCCGGAGUUCGGGAUCACGCAAGAUCGAUCUGAACCCCAACAGCGCCAAGGCGCUGAGACAUGGUCCGCUCCGAAAGGCUGGACCGUGUCACCGAAUGGGCGGAUGCUCCUGGUGGCCGUGCCGGCGAAGAACGGGUUCAAGCAGUUCGUGGACGUCUCCCAGAAUUCCACAACCGGAGAGGAGAAGAUCACAGGCUAUUGCAUCGACGUGUUCGAUGAGGUCAUGAAGAAUCUCCCCUAUCCUGUGAGCUACCGGUACGUGCCGCAGAAUGUUAGCUUGGAUUCUUAUGACAAACUGGUGGACCUGGUACGCGAUCAGAAAUUCGACCUGGUCGUGGGAGACGUGACGGUGACCGCGAGCAGGAUGGCCGAAGUGGACUUCACGAUGCCAUUCACCGAGUCGGGGUGGUCGAUGGUCGUGGCGGCGCAGGAGGACACGGGCUCAAACAUGUGGGUCUUCGUGCGGCCGCUAAGCACAGGCCUCUGGCUCGCCAGCCUCGGCUUCUUCUGCUUCACCGGCUUUGUCGUGUGGGUGAUCGAGCACCGGAUCAACCCCGAGUUUCGAGGCACGCCCUGCCAGCAGUUCGGCCUCAUCUUCUACUUCGCCUUCUCGACUCUCACUUUCUCACACAGGGAGAAGCUGCAGAGCAACCUGUCGAGGUUCAUCGUCAUCAUGUGGGUCUUCGUCGUCCUGAUCCUGACGUCGAGCUACACGGCGAGUCUGACGUCGAUGCUGACCGUCCAGAAGCUCCUGCCGACGGUGACCGACGUGAGGGAGCUCCAGAGAAACGGCCACUACAUCGGGUACCAGGAGGGCAGCUUCAUCGAAUCCUCGCUCCAGAAAAUGGGCUUCGACCAGAGCAGGAUGAGGAAGUACAACUCGUCCAAGGGGUACGCAGACGCGCUAUCCAGAGGCUCGGCGAAGGGCGGGGUCGCCGCGGUGUUCGACGAGAUCCCGUACCUGAAGCUCUUCCUGUCGGAAUACUGCAAGGACUACAUGAUGGUCGGGCCCAUCUACAAGACUGUCGGCCUGUCAUUUGUGUUCCCGAAGGAUUCUCCAAUGACGGGGGACGUGUCGCGGGGUAUACUGACGCUGGCGGAAGGAGAGAAGAUGUCCAAGAUCGAGAAGGCGUGGUUCGGGGAGCCGGAUGCGUGCCUGCAACAGAGCAGCGCCGAGGUCGCCCCGUCGUCCGGCCUAAGAUUCAAGAGCUUCGGAGGGAUAUUCCUCCUAACCGGCCUGGCCUCCGGCCUCACGCUGCUCGUCUACCUCGCCACCUUCGCCAUCCGCGAGCGCAGCGGGCUCCGGGCAGCCGAGGCCACCGCCGGCUCGGGGUCCGGGAGCGUGCCGCUGUGGAAGCUGCGUGCGUGGCUGCAGCACUAUGACACGAGGGACCUCCGGUCCCCCACCUUCAGGACGCGGCACGACGAGUUCAACGCCUGCGACUGCGCCAACCGGACGCCCACAUGGAACGACGAGAGCGUGAGGAACGGCGGGACGAGUCCGUUCAGCGUGCGUGUCAACUCGGAGAUGAAUGCCGCUUCUUCUCUGGAGAACACGCCGGCGUCAGAGGCGGGCAACUCAUUGGAGCAGGGGGUUGAGGGGGCAACGACCUCUGCGGAGAUGGCCACGUCAACAGUGCCUCAACUGCACCGCUAG
rnacentral:rRNA from 1 species